rnacentral:rRNA from 1 species
AUUGAACGCUGGCGGCAGGCCUAACACAUGCAAGUCGAACGGUAACAGAAAGCAGCUUGCUGCUUUGCUGACGAGUGGCGGACGGGUGAGUAAUGUCUGGGAAACUGCCUGAUGGAGGGGGAUAACUACUGGAAACGGUAGCUAAUACCGCAUAACGUCGCAAGACCAAAGAGGGGGACCUUCGGGCCUCUUGCCAUCGGAUGUGCCCAGAUGGGAUUAGCUAGGAGGUGGGGUAACGGCUCACCUAGGCGAGGGUCCCUAGCUGGUCUGAGAGGAUGACUCGCCACACUGGAACUGAGACACGGUCCAGACUCCUACGGGAGGCAGCAGUGGGGAAUAUUGCACAAUGGGCGCAAGCCUGAUGCAGCCAUGCCGCGUGUAUGAAGAAGGCCUUCGGGUUGUAAAGUACUUUCAGCGAGGAGGAAGGUGUUGUGGUUAAUAACCACAGCAAUUGACGUUACUCGCAGAAGAAGCACCGGCUAACUCCGUGCCAGCAGCCGCCGUAA